rnacentral:lncRNA from 1 species
AGCUGCCUGAGGAAGCUUCAGAGGCAGCACUGCAAUGAAUGCUGCUGCACACGCUGUUGAGCUCGUGGACACUUUCCUGCUGGGUGAGGACCCGAACGUGAAAUUGCUGGGUCAUGGAUUCAAGUGCUACACAUAUUUUUGACCACAUUACUGUGACUCAGGAAGCCCAGGAACAGAAUUCUAGGCACCAGAACCAUACAUGUUACAGCCUCUGAGCUUUAUGGCCUCUGAGCCAUUUGUCCAGCCACAUCAUUUGCAGAUGAGAUCCUGAGACUCAGGCUGGAAAAGUGACCGGGGAAAAGUCACACAAGUCAGAGGCAGAGCUGGAGUUUCCUCAUUUCCAGGCCCGUAUAGAUCAAGACGGACGUUGGUCAAACACCUCCUAGUACUCACAUGAAGAAGCUCUCCUUUCUGCUGUAGGAAUGAUCACACACCAUUCCAAUCUGGAUACCAAAUGUCAUUGUUUAUUAAAUGUGUGCAGUGUGCCAGGCAUAUUGUGUCAUAUGUUUACAUGUGUCAUAUAUUUACAUUACAUAUGAUCGCUGGUUCUUACAACAACCCUUCAAGACAGGUCAUAUCAAGCCCAUUUUUCAGACGGGAAAAAGAGCUCAGAGGGGAUGAUUAGCUUGUUCAGGUUUUCCAGUUUCCUUAGGAAGUGGCAGAGCUGGAUCUGAACUCUGCUUGUGACUACUUG